UACGAAGGGUGCUAGCGUUGUUCGGAAUCAUUGGGCGUAAAGCGUGCGUAGGCGGCUUGGUAAGUCGGCUGUGAAAUCCCAGAGCUUAACUUUGGAACUGCGGUCGAAACUGCCUAGCUUGAGUGUGGCGGGGGAUAGUGGAAUUCCUAGUGUAGGGGUGAAAUCCGUAGAUAUUAGGAGGAACACCGGUGGCGAAAGCGACUAUCUACACCAUUACUGACGCUGAGGCACGAAAGCGUGGGGAGCAAACAGG
rnacentral:rRNA from 1 species